GCAUAUCAAUAAGCGGAGGAAAAGAAACCAACAGGGAUUGCCCUAGUAACGGCGAGUGAAGCGGCAACAGCUCAAAUUUGAAAUCUGGCCCUUGUGGUCCGAGUUGUAAUUUGUAGAGGAUGCUUUUGGUUAGGUGCCUUCCGAGUUCCCUGGAACGGGACGCCAUAGAGGGUGAGAGCCCCGUCUGGUUGGAUACCGAGCCUCUGUAAAGCUCCUUCGACGAGUCGAGUAGUUUGGGAAUGCUGCUCUAAAUGGGAGGUAUAUGUCUUCUAAAGCUAAAUACCGGCCAGAGACCGAUAGCGCACAAGUAGAGUGAUCGAAAGAUGAAAAGCACUUUGAAAAGAGGGUUAAAAAGUACGUGAAAUUGUUGAAAGGGAAGCGCUUGUGACCAGACUUGGGCCCGGUCAAUCAUCCAGGGUUCUCCCUGGUGCACUUGGCCGGCCCAGGCCAGCAUCAGUUUGUCGCGGGGGAUAAAGGCGUCGGGAAUGUGGCUCCCCCGGGAGUGUUAUAGCCCUUCGUGUAAUACCCUGCUUCGGACUGAGGUUCGCGCAUCUGCAAGGAUGCUGGCGUAAUGGUCAUCAGCGACCCGUCUUGAAACACGGACCAAGGAGUCGUCUUCGUAUGCGAGUGUUCGGGUGUCAAACCCCUACGCGUAAUGAAAGUGAACGCAGGUGAGAGCUUCGGCGCAUCAUCGACCGAUCCUGAUGUUCUCGGAUGGAUUUGAGUAAGAGCAUACGGGGCCGGACCCGAAAGAAGGUGAACUAUGCCUGUAUAGGGUGAAGCCAGAGGAAACUCUGGUGGAGGCUCGCAGCGGUUCUGACGUGCAAAUCGAUCGUCAAAUAUGGGCAUGGGGGCGAAAGACUAAUCGAACCUUCUAGUAGCUGGUUUCCGCG
rnacentral:rRNA from 1 species